UGCCCAGCAACUCCUAUCCCUACCUCCUCGUGGUACUGGCCGGGGUACGAGUAACCUUGGGGAAGA
rfam:Aedes aegypti strain Liverpool supercont1.384 genomic scaffold, whole genome shotgun sequence.